rnacentral:rRNA from 1 species
AUUGAACGCUGGCGGCAUGCCUUACACAUGCAAGUCGAACGGCAGCACGGGUGCUUGCACCUCGUGGCGAGUGGCGAACGGGUGAGUAAUACAUCGGAACAUGUCCUGUAGUGGGGGAUAGCCCGGCGAAAGCCGGAUUAAUACCGCAUACGCUCUACGGAUGAGAGCGGGGGACCUUCGGGUCUCGCGCUAGAGGGUUGGCCGAGGGCGGAUUAGCUAGUUGGUGGGGUAAAGGCCUACCACGGCGACGACAAGUAGCUGGUUUGAGAGGAGGACCAGCAAACCGGGACUGGGGCAAGGGCCAAGACCCCAAGGGGGGGAGCAGUGGGGAAAUUUGGACAAUGGGGGGAAACCUGGACCAACAAAGCCGGGUGUGGGAAGGAGGCCUUCGGGGUGUAAAACACUUUUUGCCGGGAAAGAAUCCUUGGCCGUAAAACGGUCGGGGGGAUGACGGUACCGGAAGAAUAAGCACCGGCUAACUACGUG